rnacentral:lncRNA from 1 species
AUUUAGCCUUUAUUCAGAACGUUUACUUUAUUAUUUAUUAUAAGUUGCGAAAGCCAAAAUAUUCCUGGGUCCUUACUCCCAGCGUGUACAGGAAAAGGAUUAAGGACUAAAUGGGCGGAGCAUAAAGAACACUUUAAUAUUGUGCUUCUUUCUCUUAUUCUUAAACCAAAAUAAUUUAAAGUGGGGGGUGGGGGGAAGCAACUAAGAACAUUAAACCAAGUGUUCUUAGCAGUUCUCUUUUCUAUGUAGAAACAGGAAAUGUGUCCGGUUGAGCCGGGAAAGAGUGAGGUAUUGCUGGCUGGCGUCUGCUCAGGUCAGCAGUAUCAUGCGCAGUCGGUCAGAUGGGUCCCCUUCCUGCUACACUUCAGCUCUCUCUAGUUUGCCAAGUAACAAUUUAUCGUUUCCUGGAACCUUUUAGGAAUGACAAAAAACUACAUAGUCUUUGUCGAACAGCCUCUAAAGAUGAAGCUGUGGAAAAUAAUUACUUCUAAAAUCCGGGGAAAGUCCUUCGCCGAUGGCAUAAGCUGGGAACCCCAGUAUAACACGCGAUUUCACGUGGUGGAUAAGCACACUGGACAGCCUCUCCCAGGAGUGUACUACAGCAAGCCUUUUCUUACCUAUCAUCAAAUCAAUGCCUUCGAGGACCAGGGCUGUAUUGUGAUUGACCUGUGCUGUGAGGAUG